rnacentral:rRNA from 1 species
CCUACGGGUGGCAGCAGUGAGGAAUAUUGGUCAAUGGGCGCGAGCCUGAACCAGCCAAGUCGCGUGAGGGAAGACGGUCCUAUGGAUUGUAAACCUCUUUUGUCGGGGAGCAAAAGACGCCACGCGUGGCGUUCCGAGAAUACCCGAAGAAAAAGCAUCGGCUAACUCCGUGCCAGCAGCCGCGGUAAUACGGAGGAUGCGAGCGUUAUCCGGAUGUAUGGGGUUUACAGGGUGCGCAGGCGGAAGAUCAAGUCAGCGGUAAAAGUGAGAGGCUCAACCUCUUCGAGCCGUUGAAACUGGUUUUCUUGAGUGAGUGAGAAGUAUGCGGAAUGCGUGGUGUAGCGGUGAAAUGCAUAGAUAUCACGCAGAACUCUGAUGGCGAAGGCAGCAUACCGGCGCUCAACUGACGCUCAUGCACGAAAGUGUGGGUAUCGAACAGGAUUAGAUACCCCUGUAGUC